rnacentral:rRNA from 1 species
AUUGAACGCUGGCGGCAGGCCUAACACAUGCAAGUCGAACGAGUGGCGGACGGGUGAGUAAUGUCUGGGAAACUGCCUGAUGGAGGGGGAUAACUACUGGAAACGGUAGCUAAUCGCGCAUACCCUCGGAUGUGCCCAGAUGGGAAUAGCGAGUAGGUGGGGAAAAGGCUCCCCUAGGCGACGAUCCCUAGCUGGUCUGAGAGGAGGACCAGCAAAACUGGAACUGAGACACGGUCCAGACUCCUACGGGAGGCAGCAGUGGGGAAUAUUGCACAAGGGGCGCAAGCCUGAUGCAGCCAUGCCGCGUGUAUGAAGAAGGCCUUCGGGUUGUAAAGUACUUUCAGCGGGGAGGCGUUACCCGCAGAAGAAGCACCGGCUAACUCCGUGCCAGCAGCCGCGGUAAUUC